ACUCCUACGGGAGGCAGCAGUGGGGAAUAUUGCACAAUGGGGGAAACCCUGAUGCAGCCAUGCCGCGUGUGUGAAGAAGGCCUUCGGGUUGUUAAGUACUUUCAGCAGUGAGGAAGGUAGUGUAGUUAAUAGCUGCUAUUAUUUUGACGUUAGCUGCAGAAGAAGCACCGGCUAACUCCGUGCCAGCAGCCGCGGUAAUACGGAGGGUGCGAGCGUUAAUCGGAAUUACUGGGCGUAAAGCGCAUGCAGGUGGUUUGUUAAGUCAGAUGUGAAAGCCCGGGGCUCAACCUCGGAAUAGCAUUUGAAACUGGCAGACUAGAGUACUUAGAGGGGGGUAGAAUUUCAGGUGUAGCGGUGAAAUGCGUAGAGAUCUG
rnacentral:rRNA from 1 species